CCUGGUGAGUGAUUGCCAUUGGACUGUUGUUUUAAAUUACAUUCUUGGACUUUUUGAAUGGGCCAGAUGUAGCUUGAAAAAAUAAGACAAAAUCCAAGACAAUUGACAACAUCCAAUGAAAAAGUACAAAAGUCCCAUUCAAAGAUGCCCAGAUAACUUCCUUGGACCCCCAGAUAACUUAUUUGGCACAUCAGUGGGGGUGUCCAAGAUCACUUACUUGGACUUUCAAAUAUGUUUGUUUGACAGUUAGGGGGCAUGUCCAGGCGACCUUUUUGAUCCCCGAGAUUACUUUUAUGGACCAUCGAUAGGGGUCUCACAGAUCACUUCCUUGGAACAACAAAUAACACUUUUGGACAAUCAUUUUGUCCAGAUAUCAUCAAUUCACUUUUUGAAUAAAUCACAGUAAGAGGUGUGGUGGAAAUUGUUUUGUUUGGGCUUUUCUAUAAACCAAUUUCUGUGUUCAUGCAAGUGACUGAUUGAACGAAUUUGGCAGUAUGCCGAGAAACUUGUUUAGAGAAAGGGCUCUCUCAGUUUCAAGGUCUCAGCUUAGAGAGAAGAAGCCUCGCUUUCCAGUGGGGGUCUGCGAGGAAAUCGGUGGCGCAUUUUAUGAAGCGCGAGGGAAAUUCCCGUCUGACCUAAAGAUGACGAGACCCACCCAGACCAGACCCUUACUGUGAGCUGCCCAGGAGGAGACACAUCAUCGGCCAACAAUUGACGGAUGGCAACUGAUUUCAAUUGGGUCUGCUGGAUGGUCGGGAUUUCUCCCUAAGGAUUAGCCCUCAACUCCCUGACCUGUAACUCUGCAGUGAGAUCACCAAGAUGAUAGGGGUUAUGGCGAAGGUGACCACAGAUGGUGUCUAGACACAUGGAAGGGAUAAUUUGACCAAGAACAGAGUGAACCUCACCCCCCCCUAACUGGCUGAAGUAAUGGUGAAAAUGGCAUUCAAUAUGGUCCUUCACCACUACCUUGAGACCUGAGUCUGAGCCAGCAACCUGUAAACAGCAUCCAGAUGAAGCUAUCAACUGCCUUUUCUCUCAGGAGUGCAACAAGAGUCCACAUGGAGUGAGCAUGGAGAGAGAUCCCGUGCAAACUUGCUGGUGUACUGGUAGGAAAAUGGACAAGACAUAAUGGACUGUAAAGGACUGUGGUGACAAACAUUAUCAAGGGCUGUCCACUUUGAACAUGUCCUGUUAAAAGGACGAACUGAAACACUUUCUGAAAAAGAACAUGAAGAAACACCAAUCUGUCAUUACCACAAGUGAUGAGAAAAGUUAAUGCUAGAAAUAUAAGAUGAAUAUACUGUAUGUCAAUGUACAUUCUGCCAGUAUCAGCGUGUGCUAAGUUGAGGGUCUUAAAUUAAAGCGAUAGAACCAACGUGAAGCAAUAAGUACUGUCAUUCUAAAUUUGGGUUGGAUUCUUUAUCAAUAGUUAUAAUUAUGAUUUGGAAAGGCUUCUAGYGACAGAGCUAUGCCCUUAAAUUGUGAGGAGAGCCACUAGAUUGUAGCUUGUGCUAACUUUGCCCCAAUCUCAUUCUUAUCAAGGUUGAUGUGAAACUGUUAUAACAUGUGUUCUCUCGCUUCCCUGUGAAAGUCAAUAUGCAUGUGCCCUAGACCAAAUUUGGGAGAUCUCUAGAGACGUAGAGAAAAUUGGCAUUGCUAAAAUAAUUGUGUAAUUGGGCUCUGCAAAACAGAGGCUAUUGACUAUCUUUUGUUAACAUGCUGUAAGACGAUCUGUGCCUCUCUGGCUGGUAAGAUUUUAGCAGCUAUCAUGUUUUACGCUCCUCCAGAGGAUGGUGAAACUAAUGAACUGACAACUCUGGAAGAGCUCCCAUUCCCCCUGUAGAUGAGUAAUGAUUGAAGGUUGUUUUCGUUUAACAAGUUGAGGGUAAGGUCAUCUAAACCCUUAACCUGUUUCCAUUAUGUAAACACUGAGCUAAUGAGCCAGGACCAACCUUUGAAGGGUUUAGCAGAAUUGUUAAACAGGGUUUUAUAUUUUGAUUAAGUCGAUGUCCCAGGGACAGUUAGAAAAACAUGGGUCAAUCCAACCCGAUUGUGGUAAGAGAUAUGGAAAUAAUGAUUAACAUUGAGAUAUUUUUUCACCUCUGAAUCUACAGCUCCCUUGUGUAUGUGUGUAUUUUUGAUACUCACUUCAGUUGAUUAUAACCUUUUGAUAGUAGAUUUGAGCUUGAUGGAUUCUGUCAAAAUGUAACAUGUUUCAUGUUAAACUGUAGUUAGUUUGUAUCCUGUUUAGUGAAUGAUUACUGUGAAUAUUAAUGGAUUUUAGGCCAUGAAACUGUGUGUAUGCUAAUUUAGAAAUGUUGACCUAAUCAGACAAGAGGAAAUUGCCUAGGAUCAGGCCCGGAACAGAAGAUGGACGGGGUGUGAUUCUGACAUCUAGCUAAACAGAGAGAGCACCAUGGACAUUCCACAGGGGAGCCAGGGGGAAACUCAUUGAGGUCAUAAAAUGUAUUGCUGGGGAGGUGACACCUACAAGAGGGGGGAAGAGUAUAAAAUGUGUUGUGAACUUUCUAAAUGCAUGCACUCAGCUGACUGUAUCUUUGGUAUUAAA